UACGUAGGGUGCGAGCGUUAAUCGGAAUUACUGGGCGUAAAGCGUGCGCAGGCGGUUUUGUAAGCCAGAUGUGAAAUCCCCGGGCUUAACCUGGGAAUGGCAUUUGGGACUGCAAGGCUGGAGUGUGGCAGAGGAGACUGGAAUUCCUGGUGUAGCAGUGAAAUGCGUAGAUAUCAGGAGGAAUACCGAUGGCGAAGGCAGCUCUCUGGGACGGUACUGACGCUGAGACGCGAAAGCGUGGGGAGCGAACAGG
rnacentral:rRNA from 1 species